rnacentral:tRNA from 1 species
GCGGGAUUAGUUAAUCGGUAUAAUAUCUGCCUUCCAAGCAGAGGUGGCCAGUUCGAUUCUGGCAUCCCGCACCA